rnacentral:tRNA from 1 species
GGGCAGUUAGCUCAGUUGGUUAGAGCACUCGGUUCACAUCCGAGAGGUCAGAGGUUCGAGUCCCCUACUGCCCACCA